rnacentral:rRNA from 1 species
CUACGGGGGGCACCAGUGGGGAAUCUUGGACAAUGGGCGCAAGCCUGAUCCAGCCAUGCCGCGUGAGUGAAGAAGGUCUUCGGAUUGUAAAGCUCUUUUACCAGGGACGAUAAUGACGGUACCUGGAGAAUAAGCCCCGGCAAACCUCGUGCCAGCAGCCGCGAUAAUACGAAGGGGGCUAGCGUUGUUCGGAAUUACUGGGCGUAAAGCGCACGUAGGCGGGUCGUUAAGUCAGGGGUGAAAUCCCGGAGCUCAACUCCGGAACUGCCUUUGAUACUGGCGAUCUUGAGAUCGGAAGAGGUGAGUGGAAUUCCCAGUGUAGAGGUGAAAUUCGUAGAUAUUGGGAAGAACACCAGUGGCGAAGGCGGCUCACUGGUCCGAUACUGACGCUGAGGUGCGAAAGCGUGGGGAGCAAACAGGAUUAGAUACCCGCGUAGUC